CUUUAGCUCAGUCGGUAGAGCGCACGGCUGUUAACCGUUAGGUCGUAGGUUCGAGUCCUACAAG
rnacentral:tRNA from 1 species